GGUUAAGCGACUAAGCGUACACGGUGGAUGCCCUGGCAGUCAGAGGCGAUGAAGGACGUGCUAAUCUGCGAAAAGCGUCGGUAAGGUGAUAUGAACCGUUAUAGCCGGCGAUGUCCGAAUGGGGAAACCCAGUGCAAUUCGUUGCACUAUCGUUUGAUGAAUACAUAGUCAAACGAGGCGAACCGGGGGAACUGAAACAUCUAAGUACCCCGAGGAAAAGAAAUCAACCGAGAUUCCCCCAGUAGCGGCGAGCGAACGGGGAGCAGCCCGGAGUCUGAAUCAGCUUGUGUGUUAGUGGAAGCGUCUGGAAAGUCGCAGGGUACAGGGUGAUACUCCCGUACACUAAAACACACAGGCUGUGAACUCGAAGAGUAGGGCGGGACACGUGGUAUCCUGUCUGAAUAUGGGGGGACCAUCCUCCAAGGCUAAAUACUCCUGACUGACCGAUAGUGAACCAGUACCGUGAGGGAAAGGCGAAAAGAACCCCGGCGAGGGGAGUGAAAAAGAACCUGAAACCGUGUACGUACAAGCAGUAGGAGCCCACUAGUUGGGUGACUGCGUACCUUUUGUAUAAUGGGUCAGCGACUUAUAUUCUGUAGCAAGGUUAACCGUAUAGGGGAGCCGCAGGGAAACCGAGUCUUAACUGGGCGUUAAGUUGCAGGGUAUAGACCCGAAACCCGGUGAUCUAGCCAUGGGCAGGUUGAAGGUUGGGUAACACUAACUGGAGGACCGAACCGACUAAUGUUGAAAAAUUAGCGGAUGACUUGUGGCUGGGGGUGAAAGGCCAAUCAAACCGGGAGAUAGCUGGUUCUCCCCGAAAGCUAUUUAGGUAGCGCCUCGUGAACUCAUCUUCGGGGGUAGAGCACUGUUUCGGCUAGGGGGUCAUCCCGACUUACCAACCCGAUGCAAACUACGAAUACCGAAGAAUGUUAUCACGGGAGACACACGGCGGGUGCUAACGUCCGUCGUGAAGAGGGAAACAACCCAGACCGCCAGCUAAGGUCCCAAAGUCAUGGUUAAGUGGGAAACGAUGUGGGAAGGCCCAGACAGCCAGGAUGUUGGCUUAGAAGCAGCCAUCAUUUAAAGAAAGCGUAAUAGCUCACUGGUCGAGUCGGCCUGCGCGGAAGAUGUAACGGGGCUAAACCAUGCACCGAAGCUGCGGCAGCGACACUAUGUGUUGUUGGGUAGGGGAGCGUUCUGUAAGCCGUUGAAGGUGGCCUGUGAGGGUUGCUGGAGGUAUCAGAAGUGCGAAUGCUGACAUAAGUAACGAUAAUGCGGGUGAAAAACCCGCACGCCGGAAGACCAAGGGUUCCUGUCCAACGUUAAUCGGGGCAGGGUGAGUCGACCCCUAAGGCGAGGCCGAAAGGCGUAGUCGAUGGGAAACAGGUUAAUAUUCCUGUACUUGGUGUUACUGCGAAGGGGGGACGGAGAAGGCUAUGUUGGCCGGGCGACGGUUGUCCCGGUUUAAGCAUGUAGGCGGAUGUUCCAGGUAAAUCCGGAACGUCACUAACGCUGAGGUGUGAUGACGAGGCACUACGGUGCUGAAGUGACAAAUGCCCUGCUUCCAGGAAAAGCCUCUAAGCAUCAGGUAACAUCAAAUCGUACCCCAAACCGACACAGGUGGUCAGGUAGAGAAUACCAAGGCGCUUGAGAGAACUCGGGUGAAGGAACUAGGCAAAAUGGUGCCGUAACUUCGGGAGAAGGCACGCUGAUGGUAAGUGAAGUGACUUGCUCAUGGAGCUGAAAUCAGUCGAAGAUACCAGCUGGCUGCAACUGUUUAUUAAAAACACAGCACUGUGCAAACACGAAAGUGGACGUAUACGGUGUGACGCCUGCCCGGUGCCGGAAGGUUAAUUGAUGGGGUUAUCCUCACGGAGAAGCUCUUGAUCGAAGCCCCGGUAAACGGCGGCCGUAACUAUAACGGUCCUAAGGUAGCGAAAUUCCUUGUCGGGUAAGUUCCGACCUGCACGAAUGGCGUAAUGAUGGCCAGGCUGUCUCCACCCGAGACUCAGUGAAAUUGAACUCGCUGUGAAGAUGCAGUGUACCCGCGGCAAGACGGAAAGACCCCGUGAACCUUUACUAUAGCUUGACACUGAACACUGGUCCUUGAUGUGUAGGAUAGGUGGGAGGCUUUGAAGUGUGGACGCCAGUCUGCAUGGAGCCAUCCUUGAAAUACCACCCUUUAAUGGCUGGUGUUCUAACGUGGGCCCCUAAUCGGGGUUGCGGACAGUGUCUGGUGGGUAGUUUGACUGGGGCGGUCUCCUCCUAAAGAGUAACGGAGGAGCACGAAGGUCAGCUAAUCCUGGUCGGACAUCAGGAGGUUAGUGCAAUGGCAUAAGCUGGCUUGACUGCGAGCGUGACGGCGCGAGCAGGUGCGAAAGCAGGUCAUAGUGAUCCGGUGGUUCUGAAUGGAAGGGCCAUCGCUCAACGGAUAAAAGGUACUCCGGGGAUAACAGGCUGAUACCGCCCAAGAGUUCAUAUCGACGGCGGUGUUUGGCACCUCGAUGUCGGCUCAUCACAUCCUGGGGCUGAAGUAGGUCCCAAGGGUAUGGCUGUUCGCCAUUUAAAGUGGUACGCGAGCUGGGUUUAGAACGUCGUGAGACAGUUCGGUCCCUAUCUGCCGUGGGCGCUGGAGAAUUGAGGGGGGCUGCUCCUAGUACGAGAGGACCGGAGUGGACGCAUCACUGGUGUUCGGGUUGUCAUGCCAAUGGCAUUGCCCGGUAGCUAAAUGCGGAAGAGAUAAGUGCUGAAAGCAUCUAAGCACGAAACUUGCCCCGAGAUGAGUUCUCCCUGACUCCUUGAGAGUCCUGAAGGAACGUUGAAGACGACGACGUUGAUAGGCCGGGUGUGUAAGCGCAGCGAUGCGUUGAGCUAACCGGUACUAAUGAACCGUGAGGCUUAACCUU
rnacentral:rRNA from 1 species